UGUUAUUUCUGUGAGGUUUUUGUUGUCUUCUUAAUACUAACGCACAAUGAGUUGUGCUGCGUAUGCUCUGUGAGCACAAGAAAAGAAUGUUCUGCCCCGGCUAGCUACAAUUCCUCUUUGAGUUUAGACUGACUGUUCCCAAUGGAUGUUAGCGAUUAAAUUUGAUAGGAAUGGAAAAUUGAGAAGUCCAGAACAAGCUGUGGUAAUUCCUGAGCUGGCACUCAGAGGGAACCGGGGUUUUGUGCUCUUAGGAGCAUGUAUCCUUUGGAAAUGUCUGAAUGUCUGACGGUGGUAUUUUUCUUUAUGGCUUCCAGUACAAAACAGCACGAGUGGAUCCUCAGAUUUCUUGGGGAAGGGCUGCGUGACAAACAUUGCUGUGAGCUCUAUGUCUACCAGAGGAUUUUCCAGGUCAUUCUUGCCUUUUUCAGCAGUCCUUUGUUGUGACCAGGGCUCCCAGCGUCGUAUUCUGGAGAUAUGACAGAGUGCUGCCCGUGUCACCUCUAGAGCUGCCCAUGAGCUGAU